UUGGGUAACGAGGGAGUGGCGUUUUUUGUCGAUUAGAGCGAGUUAACUAAAGUGUCUCGAACUGGGUCGAAUAUGGCAUACCCCCAGAGACCGACGUCGUUGUUGUUGCCGUUCUGCGACCACGAGGACCGGACGAAGGAGGAGGACGACCGCAAAAGGGGCAAAGACGUACCUCAGCCCACGAAGCGGCGGCGCCUUCGCUGCUCAGGCCUCCUUCGGCGGCUCGUCUGCGACUACCAACCCUCGUGCGGCCGCGACCUCUGCCGCCGCGGCGUCGUCGUAGCCGUACCGGUCCCAAGCCCGCGCAGACGGUAGAGCUCGUUACGACGGCCACCAGAGACCAGCCGGCUCGAGUUCGGCUGGCACCGAGCGUCCAACGGCGGCCUUCCUCGACACCUACCUCGGCCGGUAAGCACGCCGAGGUCGCCAGCGGUCCCGACGUGGGGCAGGGGCCUAGCGCGAUCGCGUCCUGUCCUGUUAUUGUGGCUGGCAUCACCGUUCCUUCAGUUCCGACUCCUUAGAAACGUGUGUACGUAGCUUGCAGUUAAUCUUUGACCUUAGUACCUUACCGUGCCUCCUACGUAGCGUGGGGGCCGGGCGAGGUAGCGAGUAGCGUCCGCAACGGCUUUCGAUCCACCGCCGAUAACCGGCCGGUGCAAACUAGGCCGGAAGUCUCCCCGAGGUGAGGAACGACCAACGUGGUGUGCCACGAAGCUGACGCCCUCCCCCUAUGCGUAUAUGUGCGUCUACGAGGGAGCGUACCAGCCAGAAACGAGGUCGGUGUGCUAUGUGGUCAAAGCCUCUUGUAUGGUCGAGCCGCACGUAAAAUUAACCGUCGAUCGAUCAUGAGGAUGGUCAGGGCUUUGAGUGAUGGGCGACAAGGCAGUCGCCACACUUGGCUUCUUCGAACACACGAGGACACGUUACGGGGGCUCAGGGGCUGGUGGUCGGGUCACGGGUAACAUAUAUGAAUGAAACGUUCGAUCAUCGGAUGAUCAUCCUCUACGUAGUGAAAAUGUCGAGUCGCUUAGGAACUAUGAGGAUAAGAUGACAUCUCACAUGAUGAACAUAUGAGGAGCGUUUUUCCAGGUGCACAAUGCUCAUCAUACCUCUCAUGUCUUGGUACGUGGCUGUCCACCACGCACGUACAAACAGUACGGCUUGCCUGUGCCGGCCGGCCUCCUCUGUGCGCAUCAAAGGUCGGUCUGAAACGACGAGAUACGAGUUCUGCUACUAUGAUGAUACGAGUACACGAAGCAGUGUACGAGCCACUUUUGACACAUGCACCCCGCGAAAGGAGCGGUAACGGGUCCGUAAAGCCAGAUAGAAGAAAUGUCGAGAAUGCCGAGCUCUGGUAGAGGGGCCCUCGGCGUCUACCGGCCCCAGGGCAGAGGCUGCUACCAAGUGCCGCGGCGGCUUGGUGCGAGGGCGCUUCUGUCCCGCUGGUUUCAGGCCGGGGGCUGCCUCUUCCCACGCUGACCAGUACUACCUCGUUUGCGACUACCACCACCACUACCACAACACAGCAGCCUCGUCUCCUUCCCAAGUCCCGGCGGCCACGACGUCUGCCGUAACCCUUCCUACGACCCAAGCUUCGACCGCGCCGCUCACGACCCUCCCCUCUACCUCCUGAGACGCCGGCCCGGCAGCACGGUGAGGUUGUUGCGCGUGUAGUGGACACGUGGCGGCCGUGUCGUGACU
rnacentral:rRNA from 1 species